GCUGCCGGGUUUGAGCGAAGCUCCGUGGCUGUUCUUCACGGGGAAGGCGGGCACCAAAGUGCUCGACCCUUCUCCCACUGCAGGAAUCUAUGGAAGAGCCCUCUGAACGUGGUCCGAGAAGCUCUCAGCUUCCCGGGGCGCUGCUGGCCUUUUUUGUUCYGUGCCAGCUCAAAGUCUGAAACCUUUCAAAGUCUGAAAUCGUAUCUUUUAGAUCUGGAGAUAAAAGAAUAGCCCAGCUGGAGGCAUUCUGCCAAUGCCAACUGCAAGUACAGAAAUCCAGGCUUCCCUAGAGAAUCCAGGCUACAUACUCAGUAGCAGGAAAGGGUGGAGUUUCUUGGUAUUAACUGUAAGGUAAAUGAGGUGCUCUGUUGGGUCAGUGGUGCUCCAAUGCCAAGAAAACGAGUCCGAGAGAACUUGGUCCAAAACUACUAUUGCAAGGAUUUUAGGGUCUGCAAAGAGGAACUUUUUUCAGUACGCUUGCCAGAAGGAGCUCUGUCAGAGCCUGGAAUUUCGAUGAGGAAUGGCACCCACCAGUACAAAGGCAGUGGCGCAUCUGUUGUGAAUGGCAGCUGUUGCACAGCACUGAGAAUGCUACAUCCUCUUGCUAUUUACAGACAACUGCUUCAUGUGUUAUCCCUUUUGUAUGGACACCUGUAAAAUAGACUAAAUGCUUUUUCCUUUGUGAAGUCACCAUGUGUUUUUCAGAUACUAUUUUUUAAAAUAGUCUAACUAGACAAACAUCAUAAAAUGUCCCAGAGGUUUUUAAAGUCUUAAGCGCCAAAGAUCACCAUACAAAGAAACACAAGGGCUUCCUCAUCACUCACAGGGGUUAUUGUGCCUCUGGAUUAAUAGCAGUGUGUAGUCUGUAACACUGGAACUUGCUUAAAUCCCUGUUGUAGCGUUCAUGGCUUUUCCACUAAAUGUAAAAUGCAUGAGUUAAUUCCAUUCAUCAUUAAAAGAGGCUGUAAAUUGCAGGGGGUCUUUUGUUUUAAGUUAUGGUAUUUCUACUACGGAAAUUGAAGACAGUAAAAYGUUAGAACAACUAAUAGAGAUGAAAGUAGAGAAGUUCUACAGCACAGAAAGCAGAAAAGAAAUAUGCUGGGAAAUAUCUUCAGCUGACCCCUUUGAUAAGACUAAGUUGUGUGACAGAUCUGAUGUGGAAGCAGAAAUUGUACAGCAAUAGGAAGUUGUUAUCUCCAUAUCUCAAAUGCUAACACAGUUUCC